GAUGAACGCUAGCUACAGGCUUAACACAUGCAAGUCGAGGGGAAACGACAGAGGAAGCUUGCUUCCUUUGGGCGUCGACCGGCGCACGGGUGAGUAACGCGUAUCCAACCUUCCCGCAAGUAAGGGAUAACCCGUAGAAAUGCGGCCUAAUACCCUUAUGUUUUUCCUUAGAGGGCAUCUGAUGAGGAACAAAGAUCCGUCGCUUGCGGAUGGGGAUGCGUCUGAUUAGUUAGUCGGCGGGGUAACGGCCCACCGAGACGACGAUCAGUAGGGGUUCUGAGAGGAAAGUCCCCCANAUUGGAACUGAGACACGGUCCAAAACUCCUACGGGAGGCAGCAGUGAGGAAUAUUGG
rnacentral:rRNA from 1 species